AAAACAUGUCCUGAUGCUUAGAUUAUAUCAAGUCUUACCUGCUCAAUGAUAAUUUUAAAUAGCCGCAGUAUUUUGACUGUGCGAAGGUAGCAUAAUCAUUUGUCUUUUAAUUGGAGGCUUGAAUGAAUGGUUGGAUGAGGGAAUUCCUUUCUUUAUAUUAAAUUUAGAAUUUAAUUUUUAAGUUAAAAAGCUUAUAUUUUUUAAUGGGACGAGAAGACCCUAUAGAAUUUUAUUAUUUAAUUAAUAACUUAUUUUUAGGAUUAUUAUAAAUAUUUAUUGAUCAAAUAAUUUUGUUGGGGUGACAGGAAGAUUAAAUUAACUCUUUUUAUAAUAAAUAUUAUUAAUUUGUAUAUGAUUGAUCCUAUAUUAAGGAAAAUUAGAUUAAAUUACCUUAGGGAUAACAGCGUAAUUCUCUUGGAGAGUUCUUAUUGAUAAGGGAGUUUGCGACCUCGAUGUUUGGAUU
rnacentral:rRNA from 1 species